UGGUUUUUGUUCUUCAUUAAAAACGCGUUAAUUUUAAAUUGUUCAAGCAAUAAGAACUAGUUAGCCCUGACUUUGUCUCCACUUUGCAGAAAUUCUUUAUUAUAAGAAUUAAUUUUUAGUAAUUUUUUUAUUGUGUGCGCUUUUCAAUGUUAUUUUUUGUUGUGGCUCAAGUUAGUUGAUUAUUGCGUAUGGUAAUUAAAUUCAAGUAAUUAAAAAUAUGGAAUGACAAGCACAUAAUAAUGAAUGAAGAAAGAAGAAGAAGCAGCAGUAGACACCAAGUAACACCAUAAGAUGUCAAUAAUCAUAUAAUGGUGCAAAUUUUUGAUAUUCCUCGCAGAAAUAAACGAAAAUUUAAUAAAAUUUAGAAGACACAAGUUAGAAAAAAUCCAAAUAAAAAAGCUAAGGAGGAACAACCGAUAAGCUUGAAGGCAACAUUCUAAGCACACACAAGAACAGCCACAGCCGGCAUUUUUUUCGUUGUUUCGCACCUGCGCACACAACCGCCUUUACUUCAACAAAAAAACCAUCGCUUGUUGUUCUUGUGCAGUUGAGACAAGUGCGUAGUGGGGAUGCGGCUGAUCUGCUGUCGUUUGUGCUGUGAUUGCUUCACGUGUUGUUGUAAUUGUUGGGUGAUUACUUUCCGAGCAAAAGAAGGAAGUAUGGCAUACUACAUCUCAAACUACCAUAAUAUCCAUAACGCAAUUUCGUAGCUGUGUCUCUGGUUUCUCAAUUUAAGUCGAUGUACUCAUCUAUAAAAAGUGGCGACAUUUCACUCCUAAAACGUCAUUCUAUGGAGGUAAAUGGAGAAAAUGUCAACUGAGUGAUUAUCUGUGAAUGAAUAUUUUAAAAAUUACCAUCUUUCGACUAUAUUAAACUCACCUUCAAC